AAAACAGGCCGCCCACCACGCUCCCCGUUUCAGAAUUUCAGACAGCUAAACAAACUCGGCCAGCCCAGCUUUCCUCCUCCUCCCCCUCGACCUGCUGGUGACCGCCGUCUGCCUUCUCCGACGAAUCUCCGCGCGAGUUCGGCCUAGCUCCACAGGGAGUCUCGAAUCUCCCCUUUGCCGCUGAGUCGAGGAAGAAGGUCGGCUCGGGUUCGCUUACUCGUUCGCUCGAGGACGAGAUUCAGCGGCGGGACUGAUUGAUUGAUUGGGCGCGAGCGAGAGCCGAUGAAGGGGAAGGGCGGGGCGCUCGACAGGAGGUCGUCUGCGAGGUGGAGGCUGCUGCUGCUCUGCGCCUUCAGCUUCGGGCUCGGCAUGCUCUUCACCAACCGCUUCUGGACAGCACCAAAUACCAAUAACCACAUCAUGUCCCAACACAGGAGACAAGACCAGGAGUUGCAACUUGUGUCAGAGGAUUGCAAUACAAAGAGGAAGCAUGGGGAGCACAAGGAUAUAAUGGGAGAGGUAACCAGGACCCAUGAAGCCAUACAAUUGUUGGAUAAGUCAAUCUCAACGCUGCAGAUGGAGCUUGCAGCAAAGCGAAGCACGUUGGAACUGGUCCGUUCUGGUGUGCCAGUAACUUCAGAAACUAGUCAAUCAAGGAAAAAAGCAUUCGUUGUCGUUGGAGUUAACACCGCUUUCAGUAGCCGCAAGCGUCGUGAUUCAGUCAGGGAGACAUGGAUGCCUCAAGGUGAGAAGCUGCUGCAGCUUGAAGAACAGAAGGGAAUAGUUAUACGCUUCACUAUAGGCCAUAGUGCUACAUCCAAUAGUAUAUUGGACAAAGCAAUAGAUGCAGAAGAUGCACAACAUCAUGACUUUCUUAGACUGGACCAUGUCGAGGGGUAUCAUGAACUCUCCGCAAAGACAAAAAUCUUCUUCUCCACGGCCGUGGGCAUUUGGGAUGCUGACUUCUUCGUCAAGGUCGAUGAUGAUGUGCAUGUGAACUUAGGAAUGCUUGCCACUACCCUUGCGAGGCAUAAAGCGAAACCAAGAACUUAUAUUGGCUGCAUGAAGUCAGGCCCAGUUCUUGCUGACAAGAAUCUGAAGUACCAUGAACCUGAGGCCUGGAAAUUUGGGGAGGACGGAAACAAGUAUUUUCGCCAUGCUACUGGACAGAUAUAUGCCAUCUCAAAAGAUCUUGCGACCUAUAUCUCAAUAAAUCAACCUAUCUUACACAAGUAUGCGAACGAAGAUGUAUCACUUGGGUCAUGGUUUAUUGGGUUAGAGGUUAAUCAUAUUGAUGAAAGGAACAUGUGCUGUGGAACUCCACCAGAUUGUGAGUGGAAAGGGCAAGCUGGCAAUAUCUGUGUGGCAUCCUUUGAUUGGAGCUGCAGUGGCAUAUGCAAGUCCGUCGAGAGGCUCAAGGAUGUACAUGCUCGAUGCGGCGAAGGCGAUUCUUCUGUUUGGAGUGAUCUAAUCUAGCUAAUACUCUCCCUGGCGUAAAUAUGUAGCAUUUUCAGUAAACCCUGACGAUCGUGCCUCAGUGGCUACAACUGAAAUGACUGAAAUUGCACAACAGGUCCGCAGAUGGACUAUAUUUCUGGUAGUUCGGCCUGAGGCAACAGAUGUAGUGUAGAUGAUACUUGUUCAGUCGUCGAGAGAUCUCAGUAGAUGGGAAUUGCUUUGUGCCAUCACCGGUGACUUCAGUAGUGUUAGAAGAGAGACCAAAGCGAGUGAGUAGCUGCUGUGUACCACAGAUUAGGGAAAAACAUCUAGUACAAAUUUUGAUCAAUUCUUUUGAUGUCGGUUCUUUUUGUUAUCCUUUGCAGGAACACCUGAAAAUAGGAUUCAAUCCUCAAUUUUGUAUUGAAAAUCCAAUGCAACAUACCGU
rnacentral:rRNA from 1 species